CGGACUUUCACCUGCGGACUGGCCCAAAAUUUUUGACAGCAGUCCGCAGUUUAUUUCAGGCUGUACAUUUUCAAAAAGAUAGCGAUGUUUGGAUUUUCAAUUAUACCCUUUUUUGUGUACAGAAUCUAAAAAUUCUUCACUGAAAAACAGGGUUCGUUGACUUUAUAACUGUUAUAGAAAACGUGAUUGUCGGAAGUCUAACAGUAAAGACUUAUGAGGCAUUGUUUACUCGAUCCACUUUAACGCGAUAGAAGUUCGUUCCUUUUGGAAGGUUAUAGCGAUUUUCCUCCUAAAUCACCAAAAGUAAAAAUAAUUCCCUUUGGAUAACCCUAGCCAAAAAAGGUUCCAUUGUCAUGUUUUGCAGUCCGAGCGCAGAUAUUGAAUCAGCAUGCAAAAAAUGUAGGUACGGCCCUUUGUUGUAUAAAAUGUGUGUUGAAUAUCGUUCGUCCCAUUGCACGACUACAGCAUCUCCAACCUCACAACCAUAAACAUUUGCUGAACCUUGUCUAACAAGUGAUCUAGUCAUUUUGCUCUAAACAAAUAAAAGAAAAAGAAGUAAUAUUGAAGCCCCACCAAUUAGAAAACCUUAUUAAUGAGAAUACCAUGGGUUUUUUUUUUGAAGAAGAUUUCAGAGGAAGUAAAGGACUCGUCGAUGAUUUCUCAUCUGACUGCAAAACUGCCACACUAGCUGCCAUAUUUGCCGAACUAAAUCCAAUAUUUGGCUAUUAAUCAAAAUGUGCCAUUGGACAGUAGCUUGCUCUUCCAGUACCUAAUAACUUACCUGAUUUGGGAUAUGGACGUGGUAAAUGGAAGAGGUGGUUUGUUUGAGAGAUUUGUACUCUCUUGGCGAAGUUGGUCUACUUUCGAACCAACACUUUGCAUCAUCUGGUUCGAAUCUUUCAGCGCUUCGGACAGCGUAGCCUCCCAUUUUGUAGGCUUGGUGUUGCUGGUUUUGUAAUGGGUUGUAUAGCUUUCAACAAGGGUUGACAAUUUAUCUUUUUCUUUCUUCAACUUCUCGACUAGUGGCAGUAACAGUUCGUCUGUGUGACUUUCCUGGGGAACAAGGGAGAUUUAAGAUGUAACUACAGUUACAUUAUUUAUUAUUUUCUUAAUAAAUUACUGGUACUCUCUUGGCAUUCACUAGAUUGGACGGGCUGGCUGGUGGGGUUGUUCGCAGUUCAAAUUUGUCUAAUGAAUCGGAUCUUGACCUACAAUCGGACGGAGAUUGGCUUGCCAUCAUACGAAACCUUGUAACAAUGCAAAAUAUUAAUUGUACCAUAGCUGUAAAAAGGAACAACAAUACAGGAAAGAAAUGCACAGUUCACUAA